rnacentral:rRNA from 1 species
CAGCCGCCACGGUAAUACGUAGGGUGCGAGCGUUAAUCGGAAUUACUGGGCGUAAAGCGUGCGCAGGCGGUUCGUUAAGACAGAUGUGAAAUCCCCGGGCUUAACCUGGGAACUGCAUUUGUGACUGGCGAGCUAGAGUAUGGCAGAGGGGGGUAGAAUUCCACGUGUAGCAGUGAAAUGCGUAGAGAUGUGGAGGAAUACCGAUAGCGAAGGCAGCCCCCUGGGCCAAUACUGACGCUCAUGCACGAAAGCGUGGGGAGCAAACAGGAUUAGAUACCCGAGUAGUCCCUGUCUCUUAUAC